rnacentral:ribozyme from 1 species
CUCUCUUUUUUCCCCCCUCUCACACUCUUCUUCUUUUUAAGCACCUCAUCUUCUGAAGAAAACCAUUCUUCAGCCCUUGAAUAAAAGUCUCGAAAAAAAAGAGGAGGGUCUCGCCCAACUGAUUGAAUGGUUCCUUUUUUUUUUUUUUUUUUUUUUUUAAAUUUUUUGGAAAAAAAAG